rnacentral:rRNA from 1 species
GACAGAGGGUGCAAACGUUGUUCGGAAUUACUGGGCGUAAAGCGCGUGUAGGCGGCUAUGUAAGUCGGGCGUGAAAUCCCACGGCUCAACCGUGGAAGUGCACCCGAAACUGCGUAGCUAGAGUCCUGGAGAGGAAGGUGGAAUGCUUGGUGGUAGAGGUGAAAUUCGUAGAUAUCAAAGCGGAACACCGGAUGGCGAAGGCGC